rnacentral:rRNA from 1 species
UACGGAGGGUGCGAGCGUUGUCCGGAAUCACUGGGCGUAAAGGGCGCGUAGGCGGCCUGAUAAGUAGGGGGUGAAAUCCUGCGGCUUAACCGCAGGGCUGCCUUCUAAACUGUCAGGCUAGAGCACGGUAGAGGCAGAUGGAAUUCCCGGUGUAGCGGUGGAAUGCGUAGAGAUCGGGAAGAACAUCAGUGGCGAAGGCGGUCUGCUGGGCCGUUGCUGACGCUGAGGCGCGACAGCGGUGGGGAGCAA